rnacentral:rRNA from 1 species
UACGUAGGGUGCAAGCGUUGUCCGGAAUUAUUGGGCGUAAAGAGCUCGUAGGCGGUCUGUCGCGUCUGCUGUGAAAACUCAGGGCUUAACCCUGAGCUUGCAGUGGGUACGGGCAGACUAGAGUGCGGUAGGGGAGACUGGAAUUCCUGGUGUAGCGGUGAAAUGCGCAGAUAUCAGGAGGAACACCGGUGGGCGAAGGCGGGGUCUCUGGGCCGUAACUGACGCUGGAGGAGCGGAAAGCAUCGGGGAGCGAACAGG